UACGAAGGGGGGCGAGCGUUGUUCGGAAUUACUGGGCGUAAAGGGCGCGCAGGCGGCUCUGAAAGUCAGAUGUGAAAGCCCCGGGCUUAACCUGGGAAUUGCAUUUGAUACUCUGGAGCUUGAGUACGGGAGAGGAGAGUGGAAUUCCCAGUGUAGAGGUGAAAUUCGUAGAUAUUGGGAAGAACACCGGUGGCGAAGGCGGCUCUCUGGACCGUAACUGACGCUGAGGCGCGAAAGCGUGGGGAGCAAACAGGG
rnacentral:rRNA from 1 species